rnacentral:rRNA from 1 species
UCCUUUGCAUUGAAUCAAAACGACUCUCGGCAACGGAUAUCUCGGCUCUCGCAUCGAUGUGCGAUACUUGGUGUGAAUUGCAGAAUCCAGCGAACCAUCGAGUCUUUGAACGCAAGUUGCGCCCGAAGCCUUCGGGUUAAGGGCACGUCUGCCUGGG